rnacentral:tRNA from 1 species
AUAGGAGUGCCAGAUAUUAUGGGUUGGUUUUAAGCAUCAAAUAAGGAUUUUUCCCUCUUAUG